rnacentral:SRP_RNA from 1 species
GCCAGGCGUGGUGGUGCGUGCCUGUAAUCCCAGCUACCCAGGAGGCUGAGGCAGGAGAAUUGCUUGAACCUGGGAGGCAGAGGCUGCAGUGAGCUGAGAUCACACCACUGCAUUCCAGCCUGGGUGACAGAGCAAGACUCUGUCUCAA